GCUGCCGAAAUUAGAGAGAGAGAGAGAGAGAGAGAGAGAGAGAGAGUGGCGUGUAGAGAGAGAGGGAGAAGAAGAAAGAAAGAAACAAGAAGAAGGUGAAGAGGAACCCAUCUUAGAGCUUGAACAAGGGUGUGAAGUUUGGGUGUUGAUCUUAUUGUGUUCUUGAUUUUACAAUCAAGAGAGGUAGCAAAUAGGAUUUCUUUAUGGCACGCGUGGUGACGUGAGGAGUUCUAUCAUCAUGGGGUGUAUGGCGUGGGGUAAUCC